rnacentral:rRNA from 1 species
AGAGUUUGAUCCUGGCUCAGGACGAACGCUGGCGGCGCGCCUAACACAUGCAAGUCGAACGAGCGAGAGAGAGCUUGCUUUCUCGAGCGAGUGGCGAACGGGUGAGUAACGCGUGAGGAACCUGCCUCAAAGAGGGGGACAACAGUUGGAAACGACUGCUAAUACCGCAUAAGCCCACAGCUCGGCAUCGAGCAGAGGGAAAAGGAGCAAUCCGCUUUGAGAUGGCCUCGCGUCCGAUUAGCUGGUUGGUGAGGUAACGGCCCACCAAGGCAACGAUCGGUAGCCGGACUGAGAGGUUGAACGGCCACAUUGGGACUGAGACACGGCCCAGACUCCUACGGGAGGCAGCAGUGGGGAAUAUUGCACAAUGGGGGAAACCCUGAUGCAGCGACGCCGCGUGGAGGAAGAAGGUCUUCGGAUUGUAAACUCCUGUUGUUGAGGAAGAUAAUGACGGUACUCAACAAGGAAGUGACGGCUAACUACGUGCCAGCAGCCGCGGUAAAACGUAGGUCACAAGCGUUGUCCGGAAUUACUGGGUGUAAAGGGAGCGCAGGCGGGAAGGCAAGUUGGAAGUGAAAUCCAUGGGCUCAACCCAUGAACUGCUUUCAAAACUGUUUUUCUUGAGUAGUGCAGAGGUAGGCGGAAUUCCCGGUGUAGCGGUGGAAUGCGUAGAUAUCGGGAGGAACACCAGUGGCGAAGGCGGCCUACUGGGCACCAACUGACGCUGAGGCUCGAAAGUGUGGGUAGCAAACAGGAUUAGAUACCCUGGUAGUCCACACUGUAAACGAUGAUUACUAGGUGUUGGAGGAUUGACCCCUUCAGUGCCGCAGUU